CUGAGAUCGUGUGCUGCAACGAAAACAAUUGGAGCGUGGAAGGUGUUUGUACCAUCCGCAGUUUCCACCUGUCUGACAGUUCCCGUUCCUACCAAUGUAUCAAGUUCCUUGUGCAACUGUGUAACCGAUGUGGUUUGGCCAAAGAUCAGUUAAUGAAAACCUCUACAAAAUGGCAAUGGGCUGUUAAUUGGCUGGAGAAAAAGAUGUCUGACUACUGGGUACCAUCUAAUGCCAUCCCCGUUUCCAAUGAGGACUCAAACCAGAAAUCCUUCCAGAGGACAGUCAGUGCCCAGAUCUCAUCCUGGUUGGCCCAGCUUCAAGAAUCCAAUUUAUAAUUCCUUCUGGUAACAUUCUAAUUGCAUGUCUGUCAUACUGGAGCCAAGAUUUUUCCGUGAGAAGUUGUCGCUUGACUUGGAGAGACUCAUUGAUUUCCAAUUUAUGCACAGUGUCAGAGGUAAUUAUGUGGAGUUACAUGGCCUAUGGGCUAGAGCAGCGGACUCGGGAUCGCGGCUUCGAAUCUGAGAUGGGCGGCUCUAGCAAAAGGGAUCACCAAACUACGACCUGCGAGGUCAGUUCAUCCGGCUCGCACCGCGUUAUACCUUUUGUGUAAAUACCUGCAAUGAGAGGUCAUUUGCCUCUGAUAUGACACCAGUUUUUCGAACAACAUAUGUCUGUGAGCAAACAUUUUUCAAAAAGGAAUUCUGUGAAGUCAGCACAUCGAACGAGGUUGACUGCUGAACAUUUGAAAGCAAUUCUCUUGGUUGGAUACAGCAAUUCCAAAGCAAAUAUUGAUGAUAUGUUAAAAGCUAAACACCAAUUUCACAAAUCUCACUAAUCGUUUCUACUCUUAUGAGAUUCUGAUAUUUAUGCACACUGGGUGUGAUGUAACUAUUUUAUUGUUAACAUCACCUUUGAUAACUUUUUGGUAAAUAAAUAUGUUUAUUGUCUUUAUUUUUUGUGUAUUCAUUGUAUUGUA